ACCAUCCUUUUCUUGGGGUUGUGCUACUAGCCAACGAACAUAUAGUGAGGGUAGUACUGCUAACAACUCCGCAAAAAAAAAAAAAAAGAUAAUAAGGUAGUCGAUCUUCUACUACAGUUGUGAAUGA